GACACUGAAACAGAAAGGAAAGGAAGUCAUUAUAGUUGAUGAACAAGAAGAUGCCAGUGGCCUGAGCAGUAACGGGGAACCAGCCUCCAGGUAAAAGAACUGCCAUUUUUGUUGCCUGUUCUGAUCACAUAUAAAUAUGAAGGAUCUGCUGUGUCUCUACAAAGCAAUGAUGAGAGAACAAUCACCAGACUGAGCCUUUGUGAUGUGUCCUGCCAGGCGCUCUGUUUUAUCAUUGCUACUCUUCACAGCUACGGGAUAAAAACCGAGAACCCUGGACCAGGGCUAAGCGAAACUGAGAGAAAUCCAACACAGGAAUCUUCCUGAAAAAAGAGUGGAGGUGCACGUACCUACAUACACAUACUGAGAUCAGUAAGAAUAACUUAGAAUCAUGGACUUUGAGAACCAGAUA